rnacentral:misc_RNA from 1 species
UCCAAAAUGGCAGACAUCGCGAUAUCAUCUUCGCUCGAAAUUAACCAGGAUCUAUCAAUCUAUACCGUCAAUCAGUUAAAGAAAUAUUUAUCCAGCCGGCGACAAAAUGUCUCCGGAAGGAAGCAGGACCUUAUAAGAAGAAUACAAGGGUCUUUUAGGCUGAACAUUCCGACUACUUCAACCCUUGCGCAGUUCGACCAACUUGACAGUGAGAGAUGCGAGAUUGACAGGUUCACGGUCUCUUCUGGCAAGAAAGUUCCUCCUCCACUCGCCUUGUUUGGUUGGACAACAGAUUACAACAAUCUUCCAGAUGUAAUGGAAAAAGACAUAUACAAUUAUGUUGUAUUGAAGAAGAAUUCCAAGCGACAACUAAAAUCCAAGGGAUUUUAUAACGAUGGUCAUGUUCAUAAAGUAGAGGUCCAUCCUAUUGAUGACAGCAGCAGCCACAUGUACAUAAGCGCUUUGGUGUUACCAUCAUUUCCAUCAGCAGACCAUUAGAAAUCGCCUGACUACAGACCAUGGAUACUGCUGUCAAAAGUUACUGGAUGCAUUCAUUCAGCUUAUUGUACCUGCCCAGCUGGGUGAUGUUGCCGCUGGAUAUUCUUGUUUGUUGAUGGUUCCAAGUACUUGUACUAAUCUACAUACAUGGAAGGAGAAUGCUGCAAUCAUAUUGGAGCACUACUGUUUGGGAUUGCAGACCUUACCGAAAGAAGAAUGAAUGGCUGCUUAGCUUCGACUUCAAGAAAGUGCCUUUGCAGUGACUACAGUAUGUCAGCACCCAGAAAAAGGAGAUUGAGCCCCAAAAGGUCAGAAGAAUUGGUGUAUACGAAAAACACCCUCCUCCAUUCAACCAGGAAACUGCAUGUUGAAAAGAACAGUGACCACAACAAGAACAAAGGGUGCACAGUUGACAUUGAGACUUGAAGAGAAGAAACUGAAUGUAGGAUGGCUGAAGAAUUUCCCAUCAGAUUCCUCUACGCAUGAGCCUGAAUUUCCUGUAUUGCACGACAUUAGGUUUCUUUUCAUGGAUAAUGUGGAUCUGAGUAGCAGCAUGUGCAAGGACGUGUUUGAUGCUCAUUUCAAAUCUCUGUCACAAACUGAGGAGGAUGUACACAUAACAGAGGUGUUAACAAGAGGACAGGAUUCACACAACUGGAAGCAAGCCAGGAAAGAACGGAUCACCUCCUCACAUUUUGGCACUGUUUGUAAG